UUGUUUUAUCCUCACUCUCACGCAGCCCACAUAACACCACCACUCAAUACUUCGACCUCUCGUAUUCUGUUUAACGUUUCUGUUGGCAGCUCCUUCCAUUUCUUCAUUUCCAUAUUACUUCUCCUAGCACAAGUCUAAGUGCCUUGCCCCCUUCAUUAAAUCAAGAUGAGUCACAAUUUAAUUCUUUUCACUCACUCUCUCUGUCGUUACCUUCCCCUACCACAUACGCACAACCCUCUCUUCCUCCCAUAACACCACUUCGAGCUCCUUUCUUUUUCCUUCUGAAGGCCGCAAGUUCACCAUUGAUUGGAGCAAGCAACAGCCCUCUCGUGCAUUCCCUCAAGACGGUGGCAGCCACCACCUCCAUUCUCUUCAACCUUUUCUCAUCUCAAUUUUGAGCUUGAGUUAGAGGUUUGAGACGUGCAAGCUUGGGACUCGAUGAAAUUGGAACGCUUGAGGAAAGGCGAAGGAGAAAGAAACAUUGGCUAAGAUAACAGGUGUGACAAUGAGCAUCCCUCUAGUCCUCGCGAUCCACGCUGAUUUCCCGUCCCGUGCUGGCUGGCAUGUUGAUCCAAUUACAGGAUAUUGCUUUUAUGAGGGACUCACGAUUUUGUGGUGUAGGGAUCCAGGAGCAGGGCACAUCGGUUUUCCGGUGACGCUCCCUAUGGUGUUCUCAUUCUUUCUGUCGACCCAUGCUCAGCACGUUGGUCCGUAGAGUCCAUGCAGCUCACAUGUGCAUACCCACAGGUAGGCGAGCCUAUGGAGACCGGAGAGCCUGUCCCAGCCGUACCAGUCACCGUGGUGAGUCCACAGGGAUCUCCUGAUUAGAGGGUUCCGGAGACCCAGGAGUCUAUGGGAUCUCCUCCACCCCGGAGGAACUUGUCUUGCUUUCGGGUCACGACCCUCAAGCGAGUGAGGUCCCCUUGAUUCUCCCGAGAUGCCAGGAUUUACCGUCGCAGAUUCCAGAGAGGCAAGGCGUCCGGAGACAGAGUCAGAGCAGGAUCCUAUACCAGAGCAAGUGUCAGUGCCAGCAGCCGGUGAGGGAGUCAGUGAGGAGGAUCUAGAGGAGGAAGAUCCGAGGGGAUGAAGUCGUAUGGUCCGAGUUUCUAAUGAUGAUGAUGAUUUAUGUUUCUAUUUCUGUAUUUGAUUUUCUGUACCAGACUAUGUGCUUGAGGGCGCUAUGUCCUCUUUAUGUGUUGUCGUCUUAUCUGUAGACUUAUGCGGUGGAUCCGUCCACCAACUAUGCAUGUUAUGUAUGUUCUGUGUGGUUUA